GACGAACGCUGGCGGCGUGGAUUAGGCAUGCAAGUCGCGCGACAAACCUUCGGGUUAUGGAGCGGCGAACGGGUGAGUAACACGUGAUUAACCUGUCCCUACAUUCCGGAUAAUUGGAAGAAAUUCCUUGUAAUACGGGCGAGGAUGGCGAUGAGGCAUCUCAUUGCUAAGGAAGGUGGGAAGCAAUUCCUGUCGUGCAGGGGAGGGGAGUCGCGGAUUAUCAGCUAGAGGUGGGGUAAUGGCCUACCUAGGCGACGACGAUUAGCUGGUCUGAGAGGAUGGUCAGCCACAUUGGAACUGAGACACUGUCCAGACUCCUACGGGAGGCUGCAGUCG
rnacentral:rRNA from 1 species